UGGUUUCCAGUUGCAUGGAAUAUCUUUUUUCCAUCCCUUUACUUUAAGCCUGUGUGUCUUUAAGUCUAAAGUGAGUCUCUUGUAGGCAACAUAUAUAUGAGUCUUGUUUUUUUAUCCAUCCAGCCACUCUUGUCUUGAUUGAAGCUUUUAAUCCAUUCACACUUAAAGUAGUUAGUAAUAGGUAUGUACUUGUUGCCAUUUUGCUCAUUGUUUUCUGUUUUUUGUAGAUCUUAUCUGUUCCUUUAUUCUUCUCUUGUUUUCUUUCUUUGCAGUUUA